rnacentral:rRNA from 1 species
AGGGCACCACCAGGAGUGGAGCCUGCGGCUUAAUUUGACUCAACACGGGAAAACUCACCCGGCCCGGACACCGUAAGGAUUGACAGACUGAGAGCUCUUUCUUAAUUCGGUGGGUGGUGGUGCAUGGCCGUUCUUAGUUGGUGGAGCGAUUUGUCUGGUUAAUUCCGAUAACGAACGAGACCCUGGCCUAUUAAAUAGACGGUAUAUCUAGAAAAAGUAUACCGCGCUUCUUAGAGGGACGACCGGCGUCUAGCCGCGUGAAAUAGAGCAAUAACAGGUCUGUGAUGCCCUUAGAUGUCCGGGGCUGCACGCGCGCUACACUGAAAGAAUCAGUAUGCGCCGUCGCCUAGUUCGGAAGAACCGGGUAACCCGAGCAAAUUCUUUCGUGCUUGGGAUAGGGAAUUGCAAUUAUUUCCCUUAAACGAGGAAUUCCCAGUAAAUGCGGGUCAUAAGCUCGCGUUGAUUACGUCCCUGCCCUUUGUACACACCGCCCGUCGCUACUACCGAUUGGAUGACUUA